rnacentral:tRNA from 1 species
UAGAAUGUAGUUUUAAAAAUAGCAGAUUUGGGGUUUGCAGUUAGACUUUGUCUCUUUCUAG